AACGAACGCUGGCGGCAUGCCUAACACAUGCAAGUCGAACGCCCCGCAAGGGGAGUGGCGGACGGGUGAGUAACGCGUGGGAACCUGCACUUCAGUGGGGGAUAACGACGGGAAACUGUCGCUAAUACCGCAUACGCCCUACGGGGGAAAGCUGUAUCGCUGAAGGAUGGGCCCGCGUCGGAUUAGCUAGUUGGUGAGGUAAUGGCUCACCAAGGCGACGAUCCGUAGCUGGUCUAAGAGGAUGAUCAGCCACACUGGGACUGAGACACGGCCCAGACUCCUACGGGAGGCAGCAGUGGGGAAUAUUGGACAAUGGGGGAAACCCUGAUCCAGCAAUGCCGCGUGAGUGAUGAAGGCCUUAGGGUUGUAAAGCUCUUUCGGUGGUGACGAUGAUGACGGUAACCACAGAAGAAGCCCCGGCUAACUUCGUGCCAGCCGCCGCGGUAACAC
rnacentral:rRNA from 1 species